AGCAGAGCACUCCUACGGGAGGCAGCAGUGGGGAAUAUUGGACAAUGGGCGCAAGCCUGAUCCAGCCAUACCGCGUGGGUGAAGAAGGCCUUCGGGUUGUAAAGCCCUUUUGUUGGGAAAGAAAUCCAGCUGGCUAAUACCCGGUUGGGAUGACGGUACCCAAAGAAUAAGCACCGGCUAACUUCGUGCCAGCAGCCGCGGUAAUACGAAGGGUGCAAGCGUUACUCGGAAUUACUGGGCGUAAAGCGUGCGUAGGUGGUCGUUUAAGUCGUUGUGAAAGCCCUGGGCUCAACCUGGGAACUGCAGUGGAUACUGGGCGACUAGAGUGUGGUAGAGGGUAGCGGAAUUCCUGGUGUAGCAGUGAAAUGCGUAGAGAUCAGGAGGAACAUCCAUGGCGAAGGCAGCUACCUGGACCAACACUGACACUGAGGCACGAAAGCGUGGGGAGCAAACAGGAUUAGAUACCCUGGUAG
rnacentral:rRNA from 1 species